rnacentral:rRNA from 1 species
UACGGGGGGAGCAAGCGUUGUUCGGAUUUACUGGGCGUAAAGGGCGCGUAGGCGGUCGGCCAAGUCUGGGGUGAAAUCUUUCGGCUCAACCGGAAAAGUGCCCCCGAUACUGGCCGUCUAGAGGGAGGUAGGGGCAUGUGGAACUUCCGGUGGAGCGGUGAAAUGCGUAGAUAUCGGAAGGAACGCCGGUGGCGAAAGCGACGUGCUGGACCUCAUCUGACGCUGAGGCGCGAAAGCCAGGGGAGCAAACGGG